rnacentral:rRNA from 1 species
GUAACACGUAAACAACCUGCCUUCAGGAUGGGGACGAACAGCUGGAAACGGCUGCUAAUACCGCAUAAGCGCACAGCUUCGCAUGAAGCAGUGUGAAAAACUCCGGUGGUGUGAGAUGGACCCGCGUCUGAUUAGCUAGUUGGUAAGGUAACGGCUUACCAAGGCGACGAUCAGUAGCCGACCUGAGAGGGUGACCGGCCACAUUGGGACUGAGACACGGCCCAAACUCCUACGGGAGGCAGCAUG